UGGCUCAGAUUGAACGCUGGCGGCAGGCCUAACACAUGCAAGUCGAGCGGUAGAGAGAAGCUUGCUUCUCUUGAGAGCGGCGGACGGGUGAGUAAUACCUGGGAAUCUGCCUGAUAGUGGGGGAUAACGUCCGGAAACGGGCGCUAAUACCGCGUACGUCCUACGGGAGAAAGCAGGGGAUCUUCGGACCUUGCGCUAUCAGAUGAGCCCAGGUCGGAUUAGCUAGUAGGUGUGGUAAUGGCUCACCUAGGCAACGAUCCGUAACUGGUCUGAGAGGAUGAUCAGUCACACUGGAACUGAGACACGGUCCAGACUCCUACGGGAGGCAGCAGUGGGGAAUAUUGGACAAUGGGCGAAAGCCUGAUCCAGCCAUGCCGCGUGUGUGAAGAAGGUCUUCGGAUUGUAAAGCACUUUAAGUUGGGAGGAAGGGCAUUAACCUAAUACGUUAGUGUUUUGACGUUACCGACAGAAUAAGCACCGGCUAACUCUGUGCCAGCA
rnacentral:rRNA from 1 species